AGUGCCCAUCUUCAGUGUAAGAGUAUGCUGUGGUCUGAAUGUCUGUGCUCCUUGCUGUGAUGUUAUGAUAUUUGUUGGUUUUCAUCCACGUUCCUGGGUCAUAAUUCCCACAGCCCUUGUUCUGGUGUUUCGUUAUAAUGUUGGGUGUGUUGGGCCUCAGGGGCAAGUCUCUGACCUUCUCCUGCCCACCUUCCACUCGAAUGUUUCCCCACCUCUCUGACUGCGGGUCCUAAGACCUUCCCAAGAGAGGAUCCUGCCCUGUACUGGGGGGAAGGAAUACUGUUGUCAUGAAGCUUCCAGAAAAACCCCAAAAAGGCCCAGCAGCCCUGGAGUCAAAGCUGGUUCCUGGCCCAGUCCCUUCCUGAAGCAGCCUGCCUCCCCUUUCCUUUCAACAUGACAGAUGCUGCUGUGUCCUUCGCCAAGGACUUCCUGGCGGGUGGAGUGGCCCCACCCAUCUCCAAGACAGCGGUAGCGCCCAUCGAGCAGGUCAAGCUGCUGCUGCAGGUGCAGCAUGCCAGCAAGCAGAUCACUGCAGAUAAGCAAUACAGGGGCAUUAUAGACUGCGUGAUCCAUAUUCCCAAGGAGCAGGGAGUCCUAUCCUUCUGGCAUGGUAACCUGUCCAAUGUCAUCAGAUACUUCCCCACCCAGGUUUUCAAUUUCACCUUGAAAGAUAAAUACAAGCAGAUCUUCCUGAGUGGUGUGGACAAGAGGACCCAGUUAUGGGGCUACUUUGCAGGGAAUCUGGCAUCAGGUGGUGCCGCUGGGGCCACAUCCUUGUGUUUUGUGUACCCUCUUAAUUUUGCCCGUACCCGUCUAGCAGCCGAUGUGGUUUAGUAAAGCUGGAGCUGAGGCCGAGCACCUCGGUGACUGCCUGGUUAAGUUCUACAAAUCUGAUGGGAUUAAGGGCCUUUACCAAGGCUUUAAUGUGUCUGUGCAGGGGAUUAUCAUCUACCGAGCUGCCUACUUCGGUAUCUAUGACACUGCAAAGGGAAUAUUUCCAGAUCCCAAGAACACUCACAUUGUCGUCAGCUGGAUGAUCGCACAGACUGUCACUGCCAUUGCUGGGUUGACUUUCUAUCCAUUUGACGCCAUUCGCUGCCGCGUGAUGAUGCAUCACGGCGCAAAGGAACUGACGUCAUGUAUACAGGCACGCUUGACUGCUGGAGGAAGAUUGCUCGUGAUGAAGGAGGCAAAGCAUUUUUCAAGGGUGUAUGGUCUAAUGCUCUCAGAGGCAUGGGUGGUGCUUUUGUGCUUGUCUUGUAUGAUGAAAUCAAGAAGAAUACAUAAAUUA